GCGAAAAGCCCGAAACUCCAAGGACUUGGCGGUGCUCCAUAUCGUCCUAGAGGAGCCUGUCCUAUAAUCGAUACCCCACGUUCUACCCUACCAUUUUUUGAAAAAUCAGCCUAUAUACCGCCGUCGCCAGCCUACCUUAUGAAAGACCAAAAGUGGGCAAAAUAGUCAAUAACUAACACGUCAGGUCAAGGUGUAGCAUAUAAAAUGGAAGAGAUGGGCUACAUUUUCUUAUUAAGAAGACACGAACGCCACAGUGAAACCCGUGCCUGAAGGAGGAUUUAGCUGUAAGAUGAACUAGAGAACUCAUCUUAAACCCGCUCUGGAGCGCGC
rnacentral:rRNA from 1 species